rnacentral:rRNA from 1 species
CCUACGGGAGUCAGCAGUGGGGAAUAUUGCGCAAUGGGGGCAACCCUGAUCCAGCGACGCCGCGUGAGUGAAGAAGUAUCUCGGUACGUAAAGCUCUAUCAUCAGGGAAGAUAAUGACGGUACCUCACCCAGAAUCACCCACUAACUACGUACCAGCAGCCGCGGUAAUACGUAGGGGGCAAGCAUUGUCCGGAUUGACUGGGUGUAAAGGGAGCGUAGACGGCAGCACAAGUCUGGAGUGAAAUCACGGGGCUUAACCCCGGUACUGCUUUGGAAACUGUGCGGCGUGAGUGCUGGAGGGGUAAGCGGAAUUCCUAGUGUAGCGGUGAAAUGCGUAGAUAUUAGGAGGAACACCGGUGGCGAAGGCGGAUUACUGGACUGUAACUGACGUUGAGGCGCGAAAGCGUGGGGAGCAAACAGGAUUAGAUACCCUUGUAGUC